rnacentral:rRNA from 1 species
UACAGAGGUGGCAAGCGUUGUUCGGAAUUACUGGGCGUAAAGGGCGCGUAGGCGGCCAUCUAAGUCAGACGUGAAAUCCCCCGGCUUAACCUGGGAACUGCGUCUGAUACUGGACGGCUUGAGUAUGGGAGAGGGAUGUAGAAUUUCAGGUGUAGCGGUGAAAUGCGUAGAUAUCUGGAGGAAUACCGGUGGCGAAGGCGGCAUCCUGGACCAUUACUGACGCUGAGGCACGAAAGUGUGGGGAUCAAACAGG